rnacentral:rRNA from 1 species
GGAGGGCGCAAGCGUUGUUCGGAAUUACUGGGGCGUAAAGCGCGUGUAGGCGGUUUGGAAAGUCGGAUGUGAAAUCCCCCGGGCUCAACCCCCGGGAACUGCAUUCGAAACUUCUAGGCUAGAGUCCCGGAGGGGAAGGCAGAAUUCCCAGUGUAGGGGUGAAAUCCGUAGAUAUUGGGAGGAAUACCAGGGGCGAAGGCGGCCUUCUGGACGGUGACUGACGCUGAGACGCGAAAGCGUGGGGAGCAAACAGGAUUAGAUACCCUGGUAGUCCACGCCGUAAACGGUGCGUACUAGGUGUCGGGGGUAUUCACCCCUCCGGUGCCGGAGGUAACCUUUUAAGUACGCCGCCUGGGGAGUACGGCCGCAAGGCUA